rnacentral:rRNA from 1 species
UACGGAGGGUGCAAGCGUUAUCCGGAUUCACUGGGUUUAAAGGGUGCGUAGGUGGGUCUGUAAGUCCGUGGUGAAAUCUCCAAGCUUAACUUGGAAACUGCCAUGGAUACUAUAGGUCUUGAAUACCGUGGAGGUGAGCGGAAUAUGUCAUGUAGCGGUGAAAUGCUUAGAUAUGACAUAGAACACCAAUUGCGAAGGCAGCUCACUACACGGAAUAUUGACACUGAGGCACGAAAGCGUGGGGAUCAAACAGG